rnacentral:rRNA from 1 species
GGGGAGCAAACAGGAUUAGAUACCCUGGUAGUGCACGCCGUAAACGAUGUCGACUGGAGGUUGUGCCCUGAGGCGUGGCUUCCGGAGCUAACGCGUUAAGUCGACCGCCUGGGGAGUACGGCCGCAAGGUUAAAACUCAAAUGAAUUGACGGGGGCCCGCACAAGCGGUGGAGCAUGUGGUUUAAUUCGAUGCAACGCGAAGAACCUUACCUACUCUUGACAUCCAGAGAACUUUCCAGAGAUGGAUUGGUGCCUUCGGGAACUCUGAGACAGGUGCUGCAUGGCUGUCGUCAGCUCGUGUUGUGAAAUGUUGGGUUAAGUCCCGCAACGAGCGCAACCCUUAUCCUUUGUUGCCAGCGGUUCGGCCGGGAACUCAAAGGAGACUGCCAGUGAUAAACUGGAGGAAGGUGGGGAUGACGUCAAGUCAUCAUGGCCCUUACGAGUAGGGCUACACACGUGCUACAAUGGCGCAUACAAAGAGAAGCGACCUCGCGAGAGCAAGCGGACCUCAUAAAGUGCGUCGUAGUCCGGAUUGGAGUCUGCAACUCGACUCCAUGAAGUCGGAAUCGCUAGUAAUCGUAGAUCAGAAUGCUACGGUGAAUACGUUCCCGGGCCUUGUACACACCGCCCGUCACACCAUGGGAGUGGGUUGCAAAAGAAGUAGGUAGCUUAACCUUCGGGAGGGCG